UACAGAGGGUGCGAGCGUUGAUCGGAAUUACUGGGCGUAAAGGGUGCGUAGGUGGUUUGAUAAGUUAGGUGUGAAAGUCCUGGGCUUAACCUGGGGAUUGCGCCUAAUACUGUUGAGCUAGAGUACUGUAGAGGAAGGUGGAAUUUCCGGUGUAGCGGUGAAAUGCGUAGAUAUCGGAAGGAACAUCAGUGGCGAAGGCGACUUUCUGGACAGAUACUGACACUGAGGCACGAAAGCGUGGGGAGCAAACAGG
rnacentral:rRNA from 1 species